rnacentral:rRNA from 1 species
AUGUAAAGAACAGGUUCCAAAUCACGAUCGAUUCCCUUUUCAAAACCUGCUGCAGCAGCUCGGGCUCUUCCUGCAUGCCAUAAAUGGCCCACAAAAAAG